AGAGUUUGAUCCUGGCUCAGAACGAACGCUGGCGGCAGGCUUAACACAUGCAAGUCGAACGAACUCUUCGGAGUUAGUGGCAGACGGGUGAGUAACGCGUGGGAACCUACCUUUAGGUACGGAACAACAGUUGGAAACGACUGCUAAUACCGUAUGUGCCCUAUGGGGGAAAGAUUUAUCGCCUAAGGAUGGGCCCGCGUUGGAUUAGCUAGUUGGUGGGGUAAUGGCCUACCAAGGCGACGAUCCAUAGCUGGUCUGAGAGGAUGAUCAGCCACACUGGGACUGAGACACGGCCCAGACUCCUACGGGAGGCAGCAGUGGGGAAUAUUGGACAAUGGGGGCAACCCUGAUCCAGCCAUGCCGCGUGAGUGAUGAAGGCCCUAGGGUUGUAAAGCUCUUUCAGCGAGGAGGAUAAUGACGUUACUCGCAGAAGAAGCCCCGGCUAACUUCGUGCCAGCAGCCGCGGUAAUACGAAGGGGGCUAGCGUUGUUCGGAAUCACUGGGCGUAAAGCGCACGUAGGCGGAUUGAUAAGUUAGGGGUGAAAUCCCGGGGCUCAACCUCGGAACUGCCUUUGAUACUGUCAGUCUUGAGUCCGAGAGAGGUGAGUGGAACUCCGAGUGUAGAGGUGAAAUUCGUAGAUAUUCGGAAGAACACCAGUGGCGAAGGCGGCUCACUGGCUCGGUACUGACGCUGAGGUGC
rnacentral:rRNA from 2 species